rnacentral:rRNA from 1 species
AUUCAACGCUGGCGGCAUGCCUUACACAUGCAAGUCGAACGGCAGCACGGGUGCUUGCCCCUGGUGGCGAGUGGCGAACGGGUGAGUAAUACAUCGGAACAUGUCCUGUAGUGGGGGAUAGCCCGGCGAAAGCCGGAUUAAUACCGCAUACGAUCCACGGAUGAAAGCGGGGGACCUUCGGGCCUCGCGCUAUAGGGUUGGCCGAUGGCUGAUUAGCUAGUUGGUGGGGUAAAGGCCUACCAAGGCGAUGAUCAGUAGCUGGUCUGAGAGGACGACCAGCCACACUGGGACUGAGACACGGCCCAGACUCCUACGGGAGGCAGCAGUGGGGAAUUUUGGACAAUGGGCGAAAGCCUGAUCCAGCAAUGCCGCGUGUGUGAAGAAGGCCUUCGGGUUGUAAAGCACUUUUGUCCGGAAAGAAAUCCUUGACUCUAAUACAGUCGGGGGAUGACGGUACCGGAAGAAUAAGCCCCGGCUAACUACGUG